AUAAUACUUCAGGGCAGGGUGUCAUUCCCUACCGGCGGUAAAGCCCGCAAGCAUUAUGCACGAACUGGUGGAAUUCCAGUGCCGACAGUUACAGUCUGGAUGGAAGAAGUAAAGU
rfam:Eubacterium sp. CAG:76 genomic scaffold, scf46